rnacentral:misc_RNA from 1 species
UGGGGUGAAGUCGUAACAAGGUAGCCGUAGGGGAACCUGCGGCUGGAUCACCUCCUUUCUAAGGAUGGUUCUUCAGAAGCUUGCUUCUAUCGAACCGUUUUAGAAACAUCAGUGGCCAACGAUCGUCAGGAUUGUUGAGCUGCAUUGGCGGGAUUUCGCCGUCUUCGUUUCUCUUUCUUCGCGGACGAACACGCGCUGGGGCUGCAAGCUUGCAGAAUCCCUGGUCCUUGACUGGAUAUGCGUUAGGGGCUUGUAGCUCAGUUGGUUAGAGCGCGCGCUUGAUAAGCGUGAGGUCGGAAGUUCAAGUCUUCCCAGGCCCACCACACUCAUCGAGUGAGCAUUCGUCUUCUGGUUACGGGGCCAUAGCUCAGCUGGGAGAGCGCGUGCUUUGCAAGCAUGAGGUCGUCGGUUCGAUCCCGUCUGGCUCCACCAGAUGGUUUGAUCAUCGACUGAUCGUGCAUCUAAAUCGUCCGCGAAACAUCACUUCGCACUUACUAGUCCGGAUGGACAGUAAGCUGCGUGAUUUCUGACAUCGUAAAGAGGAGAUCGAUCCGAGUUGGAUCGGGCAACAAGCAAUUGUUGCGCGAUACUUCAUUAUCUCCGGAUCAUUUCGGCGCUCGUGCGUCUUUCAAUGUAGCUCACAAGGCUGCGUUUGAGAGACAUGCGAGUUGUAAAUGAUCCUUUUAGCGAAGCUUGACCGCCUCGCUAUCGGAACGAUCUUACGAAGCAAGCUGGUCUUUCUAAUCAUUGUCCGGCUGCAGAUAGCGUUCAUCGAGGGCGCGUGCCGCAAGGUAAUUCUGCAGACAACAUUCUGCCGAGUGUGUGGACAUUGAUAAUGAGAGCAAUCAAGUGCCUUAAGGGUGUUCGGUGGAUGCCUUGGCGCUGAGAGGCGAUGAAGGACGUGCUACGCUGCGAUAAGCCGUGGGGAGCUGCGAAGAAGCUUUGAUCCAUGGAUUUCC